rnacentral:rRNA from 1 species
UACGAAGGGGGUCGUAGCGUUGACUCGGAAUUACUGGGCGUAAAGCGCGCGUAGGCGGCUUUGCAAGUCGAGUGUGAAAUCCCCAGGCUUAACCUGGGAACUGCAUUCGAGACUGCAUAGCUAGAGUAUGGGAGAGGGAAGUGGAAUUUCAGGUGUAGCGGUGAAAUGCGUAGAGUAUCUGAAGGAACAUCAGUGGCGAAAGCGACUUCCUGGACCAAUACUGACGCUCAUGUGCGAAAAGCGUGGGGAGCAAACAGG